rnacentral:rRNA from 1 species
GACGAACGCUGGCGGCGUGCUUAACACAUGCAAGUCGAACGGAAAGGCCCUGCUUUUGUGGGGUGCUCGAGUGGCGAACGGGUGAGUAACACGUGAGUAACCUGCCCUUGACUUUGGGAUAACUUCAGGAAACUGGGGCUAAUACCGGAUAGGAGCUCCUGCUGCAUGGUGGGGGUUGGAAAGUUUCGGCGGUUGGGGAUGGACUCGCGGCUUAUCAGCUUGUUGGUGGGGUAGUGGCUUACCAAGGCUUUGACGGGUAGCCGGCCUGAGAGGGUGACCGGCCACAUUGGGACUGAGAUACGGCCCAGACUCCUACGGGAGGCAGCAGUGGGGAAUAUUGCACAAUGGGCGGAAGCCUGAUGCAGCAACGCCGCGUGCGGGAUGGCGGCCUUCGGGUUGUAAACCGCUUUCGCCUGUGACGAAGCGUGAGUGACGGUAAUGGGUAAAGAAGCACCGGCUAACUACGUGCCAGCAGCCGCGGUGAUACGUAGGGUGCGAGCGUUGUCCGGAUUUAUUGGGCGUAAAGGGCUCGUAGGUGGUUGAUCGCGUCGGAAGUGUAAUCUUGGGGCUUAACCCUGAGCGUGCUUUCGAUACGGGUUGACUUGAGGAAGGUAGGGGAGAAUGGAAUUCCUGGUGGAGCGGUGGAAUGCGCAGAUAUCAGGAGGAACACCAGUGGCGAAGGCGGUUCUCUGGGCCUUUCCUGACGCUGAGGAGCGAAAGCGUGGGGAGCGAACAGGCUUAGAUACCCUGGUAGUCCACGCUGUAAACGGUGGGUACUAGGUGUGGGGUCCAUUCCACGGGUUCCGUGCCGUAGCUAACGCUUUAAGUACCCCGCCUGGGGAGUACGGCCGCAAGGCUAAAACUCAAAGGAAUUGACGGGGCCCCGCACAAGCGGCGGAGCAUGCGGAUUAAUUCGAUGCAACGCGUAGAACCUUACCUGGGUUUGACAUGGAUCGGGAGUGCUCAGAGAUGGGUGUGCCUCUUUUGGGGUCGGUUCACAGGUGGUGCAUGGCUGUCGUCAGCUCGUGUCGUGAGAUGUUGGGUUAAGUCCCGCAACGAGCGCAACCCUUGUUCACUGUUGCCAGCACGUUAUGGUGGGGACUCAGUGGAGACCGCCGGGGUCAACUCGGAGGAAGGUGGGGAUGACGUCAAGUCAUCAUGCCCCUUAUGUCCAGGGCUUCACGCAUGCUACAAUGGCUGGUACAGAGAGUGGCGAGCCUGUGAGGGUGAGCGAAUCUCGGAAAGCCGGCCUCAGUUCGGAUUGGGGUCUGCAACUCGACCUCAUGAAGUCGGAGUCGCUAGUAAUCGCAGAUCAGCAACGCUGCGGUGAAUACGUUCCCGGGGCU